AUCGAAUAUCGAACCUCGUGUUGGGCAGUGGCGGACGGGUGAGUAACGCGUGGGUAACCUACCCAUAAACCCGGGACAACCCUUGGAAACGAGGGCUAAUACCGGAUAAUCUUAGAGCUUGGCAUCAAGGUUUAAGGAAAGGUGGCCACUGAAGAUGCUACCGAUUAUGGAUGGACCCGCGUCUGAUUAGCUAGUUGGUGGGGUAAAGGCCUACCAAGGCGACGAUCAGUAGCCGGCCUGAGAGGGUGAACGGCCACACUGGGACUGAGAUACGGCCCAGACUCCUACGGGAGGCAGCAGUGGGGAAUCUUCCGCAAUGGACGAAAGUCUGACGGAGCAACGCCGCGUGUAUGAUGAAGGUCUUCGGAUUGUAAAGUACUGUCUUUGGGGAAGAACGGUCUUCUUGAGAAUAUUGAGGAGACAUGACGGUACCCAAGGAGGAAGCCCCGGCUAACUACGUGCCAGCUGCCGCGGUAAUACGUACGGGGCAAGCGUUGUCCGGAAUUAUUGGGCGUUAAGGGCGCGUAGGCGGAUGUUUAAGUCCGGUGUGACAGAUCACGGCUCAGCCCUGGGAGUGCAUCGGACACUGGGCAUCUUGACGACAGGAGAGGAAAGUGGAAUUCCACGUGUAGCCGUGAACUGCGUAGAUCUGUGUAGGAACACCAGUGGUGAACGCGACUUUCUGGACUGUAACUGACGCUGAUGCGCGCAAGCUUCGGGAGCAUACACGAUGAUAUUACCUUGGUAGUCCACGCCGUAAACUCAUCAGUGCUACGUCGUACAGGGUAUCGACUCCUUUCUGUGCUGUACUUAACUCAGUACGCACUCCGCCUGUGGAGUACUGCUGCACGGUUGAACUCAGAUGAAUUGACGGG
rnacentral:rRNA from 1 species